UAAACUGAAGAGUUUGAUCAUGGCUCAGAUUGAACGCUGGCGGCAGGCUUAACACAUGCAAGUCGAGCGGUAACAGGUCCUUCGGGAUGCUGACGAGCGGCGGACGGGUGAGUAAUACAUAGGAAUCUGCCCAGUAGUGGGGGAUAGCCCGGGGAAACCCGGAUUAAUACCGCAUACGCCCUUUGGGGGAAAGCAGGGGAUCUUCGGACCUUGCGCUAUUGGAUGAGCCUAUGUCGGAUUAGCUAGUUGGUGGGGUAAAGGCCUACCAAGGCGACGAUCCGUAGCUGGUCUGAGAGGAUGAUCAGCCACAUCGGGACUGAGACACGGCCCGAACUCCUACGGGAGGCAGCAGUGGGGAAUAUUGGACAAUGGGGGCAACCCUGAUCCAGCCAUGCCGCGUGUGUGAAGAAGGCUUUCGGGUUGUAAAGCACUUUCAGUGAGGAGGAAAACCUUAUGGCCAAUACCCAUGAGGCUUGACGUUACUCACAGAAGAAGCACCGGCUAACUCCGUGCCAGCAGCCGCGGUAAUACGGAGGGUGCAAGCGUUAAUCGG
rnacentral:rRNA from 2 species